rnacentral:rRNA from 2 species
GUGGGUAGUUUGACUGGGGCGGUCUCCUCCUAAAGAGUAACGGAGGAGCACGAAGGUUGGCUAAUCCUGGUCGGACAUCAGGAGGUUAGUGCAAUGGCAUAAGCCAGCUUGACUGCGAGCGUGACGGCGCGAGCAGGUGCGAAAGCAGGUCAUAGUGAUCCGGUGGUUCUGAAUGGAAGGGCCAUCGCUCAACGGAUAAAAGGUACUCCGGGGAUAACAGGCUGAUACCGCCCAAGAGUUCAUAUCGACGGCGGUGUUUGGCACCUCGAUGUCGGCUCAUCACAUCCUGGGGCUGAAGUAGGUCCCAAGGGUAUGGCUGUUCGCCAUUUAAAGUGGUACGCGAGCUGGGUUUAGAACGUCGUGAGACAGUUCGGUCCCUAUCUGCCGUGGGCGCUGGAGAACUGAGGGGGGCUGCUCCUAGUACGAGAGGACCGGAGUGGACGCAUCACUGGUGUUCGGGUUGUCAUGCCAAUGGCACUGCCCGGUAGCUAAAUGCGGAAGAGAUAAGUGCUGAAAGCAUCUAAGCACGAAACUUGCCCCGAGAUGAGUUCUCCCUGAGACUUAGAGUCUCCUGAAGGAACGUUGAAGACGACGACGUUGAUAGGCCGGGUGUGUAAGCGCAGCGAUGCGUUGAGCUAACCGGUACUAAUGAACCGUGAGGCUUAACCUUACAACGCCGAAGGUGUUU